AUACCGUCGUAGUCCGACCGUAAACGAUGCCGACCGAGGGCCCGGAGGAGUUACGUACGACCCUCCGGGCCUCCCGCGAGAAAUCAGGAGUAGUUCGGGUUCCGGGGGGAGUAUGGUCGCAAGGCCGAAACUUAAAGGAAUUGACGGAAGGGCACCACCAGGAGUGGAAUCUGCGGCUUAAUUUGACAACGCGGGAAAACUCACCAGGUCAGGACACGGUAAGGAUUGACGGACUGAAGGCUCUUUCUCGAUUCCGUGGAAAGUGGUGCAUGGCCGUUUUUGGUUGGUGGAUCGAUCCGUCUGGUUAAUUCCGUUAACGAACGAGACCUCGGCACUCCGAAUAGCGCGGCGGACGUCGCGGCCUCCGGGCCGUCUUCCGCGCGAGCUUCUUAGAGGGACCGUCCCCCCGCCGGGGAAGGAGGUGCGAGGCAACGACAGGUCUGUGAUGCCCUUAGAUGUUCUGGGCCGCACGCGCAUUACACUGACGCGUCCAACGGGUGACUCCCGACCCGAAGGGGCCGGGGAAUCCGCAAGGCGCGUCGUGAUGGGGAUUGAACGUUGCAAUUGUUGUUCACGAACGAG
rnacentral:rRNA from 1 species